rnacentral:lncRNA from 1 species
CGGCGCGGCACCACGUGGGGCCCGGCGCGCCCGGCAGCCCAGGACCGGAGCCCGGGCUGUGCACGCGCCCUCCCGUUCGCCUCGCCACGCCGUGGGCCCCCCUUCCAGGAGGAGCGGGAAGGAAACAGGGGUCAGAGAAGGGAGCAGUGGGGCGCUCCGGGGCGCCCUGCUCCCUCUGCGGGCGCGUCUGGGCUCCCGUGCGUCCCGCCUCCGGUCCCGUCGCGCAACCGGCUCCGCAAGGAGGCGCGUCCUCAAGGGCCCCCCCAACCAGCCCGCCUUGAGCCCCGACGUCUCGCCCGCAGCCCAAAGGCGCCGGGGUCAACUGCUGCCAGCCUGCGGCCCAGGGGAGGGUCGGCUGGACCGCGUAGCCUCAAAGCCCGGGCUCCCCGCCCGCAGGGCCAGCGCGACAUGCGGGAGGCUCCAGCGCGCCUGAGUCUGCGCGCCGCGCGCGUCCAGGUGUGGAACAGGACCCGUUGCCAACUGCUCCUGCACCCCAGGACCUGAGGACUGUGGGACAUGCGCCAACUUUGCUGCUCAAGCUGGGGGUUCCCACCCAGUCACCUUUGCCAUCAGUUUGAGAAGAAAUCGGUUCCUGGUCAUCAGAGGAGGUAGCUGGGACCUCAGGAACAGGUGGGUUGGGGCGUUCUACUUGACGGUCCCUCUCUGAUUUCUAAGCAGAGGCCAAGUGUCUCCUUCGACAGAGGGGCCCCUAGUGGGCUUUGCAGAGGUGGGUGAGGCCUGGAUAAGCCGACGAGAAAAGUUCCUGCUAAUGUGACCUCUGAGCAUCGGUUGGAAGUGACGGUACAAUCUGAGGGGUUAGAAGGGCAUUCCUGGUGGCUUUCAACCUUCCAGAUGACCACUGUGAGAUGGAGAGAACCCCCUUCAUGUGGCCCCUGUGUGGGUCCAUGCAGCAAGAUCCUGGAGGGUGUAUCUGAGCAUUUUCUAUUCCGUGGCUCAUUCCGCAAACAUUUCUGGAGCUCCUGUGCCAUGGCAGGUGCCGGGCAGAGGGUGGCGACCCACAGGGGGCCCGCCCCUCCAGAAGCUCGUGCUGGCAAAGCAUUCUAAUAAAGCGUGAAACGAGGCCUAUGGAGUGGCUUGU